UUUUAACGAAGCAGCUUUGCAUUUAACUGUUAAUUAUUUUGUAGCCCCCUAGGGCCGUUUGAA
rnacentral:tRNA from 1 species